GAGUCAGGUCUUGUGUCGAGCCUUUGUACAUACUGUGAAGUACUUUCAUACGAUUAUAAGGAAGCUUCUUCGCCGAUGGAGGCCAGAACCGAGACUGGCAGCUAUUCACAUUGUAUUGUAGUGCCAAUUAUUGGCCAAAUCAACAGUAGACAAGGAGGCAGCAAAAAGAUAGAGAAGUAGCCGAAGUAGAGAGGAGAGCAAGAGAGGAAGAAAGGAAGAGGAAGCGUACUGCUAACCCAAUUAGCACUUAACACAUGGCAGCGGCAGUCUAGCCAACCCCACAGCCCCAAAUCUUUCUCUCUCUCUCUCUCAGUUCGUUUGAGGCAGAGCGACUUUCAAUUUCCAGGCAAGCAGCCAGCCAAAAAAGGCAAUCGUCAGCGAAAAGGCAACCAGAGGCACCAGGCAACUUGGAAACUAGCACAAGGACGUGUGCCACACGACACACACACACAUACACAUACACUUACACACUCACACACAUGAGGAAGCACAGCGACGAUACUGACUUCGAUUCUUUGAGGCCAGUGCGAAAAUCUUAGCGCUCAAGUAGCGUACGUGAUAUGCGCGUAAUCAAUAUUUACACACAACUUUUCGAGGAUGUUGUGUAUGUGCUAAAAAAUAAGAACGAAAGACAAAAGUAAAGCAAUUG